rnacentral:lncRNA from 1 species
AAAAUGUGCAAAGCUGUUUGUCUCCCAGUCAGAGACGAAUGGGAGCGACUGCUGGCAUACUGAGGUGUCACACUGAAGAAGAGUGCAGGCAGAGCUGGGCUGGCAAGAACGUGGUCUGCAAGGAACUUGCUUCUUUUGGAUAGGUCGUAAAGCAGUUUCAGGUGAGCUUGGAGUUCCUAGCCCUGAGUUGGUGCCUGGUGCUGCUCUGUGCUGCUGAGCUGCUGCUGCUUUCUACGACUGAGCUCAUUGUCUUAGAGUUGAAGGAUGCCUUAGCCUAGAACGAUGCAAAAGGAGUUGGGUCAGACCACCCUAGAGGAGCAUGGAAAUGAGCCAUUUCCACACCAUUUGCCUGGAAGAUCCACACUUUUCUUUGGAUUCAGUCUCUUCAAUUUGAUAAAGACUCAUAAAAGAAGAUGUAGUAAAAAUGUCCAGAUAAACGCCUGGUUUGUGAUCCUCAUAGUCCCUCUUGAAAUCACAAUUCUCAUUUCGAUAGUGAGGAACUGUGACAUACACAAAUCAAUCGAGUUGUCUUAAUCAAGCAAGGAGAUGCUUAGAGCUGGAAUGUAAGGAGCUGAGCUUAGUGUUCUUAAUUCAGACUGCCAGACCAUGCUGUCCUCCAAAGUGUUAGGUUAGUAGGCUUUAUGAACUAUUCUUUUUAUUUCACAUGUUUUAUGUGAAAUUUAUCAAUUCUACUCUCUGCAAGAUAACAUUGUGUGGAGCACAUAGAAAAUCACUACUUUUAGGUGCCAAUCAGUUUACCUGCUUAGCAUGGUGCCACUGCCGCCUUUGUCUGAAGGCAUUAAAUUCUUGACAGAGCGUGGCUCUUCUUCUGAAGGGACACUGCCCAAAAGUGUGCCAUGGUUUUGAGAGCCAGGGCCUGUGGUGACGAAGGGGAGCCCUGCAGUCCCCCGCAGCAGCCUGGAGAGUACCCAGCAAAGACCUCAACCAGGGCCAUGAAAAUUAGCCAGCAUAGGUACUGUGCCAAAUCAUUUGAGAGAAAUGCCAGCUGGCCGAGCUGUUAAGCUGUCUUUUCUAGGAGGGAUUCCACUUUCUAGAAAUUUGCCUACUGCAUAUCUAAUGUCUAUUCUCAGUUUACUUUCG